CCCACAAGAUCGAAAAUGUCCUCAUUGCAUUUCUGAGACUCAAUCUAUGGAACAUAUAUUGCUCUACUGCUCUAAACAUGAGGGGCCCAGGAUCAGGCUCUUUGCUUUUUUUAAAGGAACUUAGCAAAU